AAAUUGAAGAGUUUGAUCAUGGCUCAGAUUGAACGCUGGCGGCAGGCCUAACACAUGCAAGUCGAACGGUAACAGGAAGCAGCUUGCUGUUUCGCUGACGAGUGGCGGACGGGUGAGUAAUGUCUGGGAAACUGCCUGAUGGAGGGGGAUAACUACUGGAAACGGUAGCUAAUACCGCAUAACGUCGCAAGACCAAAGAGGGGGACCUUCGGGCCUCUUGCCAUCGGAUGUGCCCAGAUGGGAUUA
rnacentral:rRNA from 1 species